AGCAAAACACAUUAUUUCUACAAAACAAAGAAAUAGCCAUUCCCGUUUCCCCCCAUCUCUCUCUCGCAUAUCCUCUCUCUCACACCCAUUCGCACCACCUGUUUUGGAUGAAAUUAGGUAGGAUUCGUUACUGGGCAAGGUGUAGUAGAGGCAGACGAUGCUGUGCCCUUAUCAAUCUGGUGCUGUGGCCCCAAACGUCGUCGUCGGGGAUCCAAAAGGAAUCCCCCUUCAGUAGACUAUUUAUCGAGAUACGCCUGCACCUUUCAUUUAUGUUCACUGUGGUAGUACUGGAAUCACCUCUGUCAAGUGAGGGGUGGACAACUAUGGGGAACAGAUAUAUACACGGUUGACUCUGAUCUGGUGGCUGGUAUGAUUUUUGGUCUAUAUUAUAACUUUCAUUGCAUACAUGACCCAAAACUAUAGAUGGAAUGUAAUGUGUUCCGUGUUCAGUUCUUAUGCAUACAGGUUACCGUCACCCAACUACUUGUUUAAAAUUCUGCUUCUUUUUAAUGUUUCUUUUGGUAACAUUAAGGCCUCUAUUUGACCUUCCAUGUAAUGGUUUGAUAGUAACUCAUAUUAGCGUAAGGCUACUAUCACUGCUAUUAGUUGGUAAUUUGUGCAGUUUCUGUUUGGCCAGAAUUUAUCUUUUUCUCAAUGAAAUCAGAUUGUGAAUAGAAAGCACAGGCAGACAAUGUAUGUAUUGCUUCGUUCGGCUGGAGUUGCAAUGAAAUUUGCAAGUCAGUAAAGAAGAUCAAAUUUGCACAACCAAAUUGCAAAUGAAAAUCAAAGUUAUGGAGCCACGACAUAUUUUGCACACAUACUUUUGUAUUAGAAUAGAGGGGAUGUUUCCGUAAUAAUAAUAAUAAUAGCAUCAAAUGUGUUAUUUGCCUCGAAAGGACUAUAGACUUUGGAAGUAAUUUGUACGCCCGAGAUUUUAAUCAAGAUAAGUUUCACAUUUCACGAACAUGUUUCACGUUUUCGAUUUAUGUUUUUGUUUUGGUUUGGCCAUUUUGUAUUUAUGUACGAUUAAAAACUAUUGUCCCAACUCAAAAUGAGGUGGAAUUUGCUACUAAUUAUU